rnacentral:pre_miRNA from 1 species
ACCGUGGCUUUAGAUUGUUACUGUGUGGUGCGUGGGUAACAGUCUACAGCCAUGGUCG